rnacentral:rRNA from 1 species
CUUGCUUCUCUUGAGAGCGGCGGACGGGUGAGUAAUGCCUAGGAAUCUGCCUGGUAGUGGGGGAUAACGUUCGGAAACGGACGCUAAUACCGCAUACGUCCUACGGGAGAAAGCAGGGGACCUUCGGGCCUUGCGCUAUCAGAUGAGCCUAGGUCGGAUUAGCUAGUUGGUGGGGUAAUGGCUCACCAAGGCGACGAUCCGUAACUGGUCUGAGAGGAUGAUCAGUCACACUGGAACUGAGACACGGUCCAGACUCCUACGGGAGGCAGCAGUGGGGAAUAUUGGACAAUGGGCGAAAGCCUGAUCCAGCCAUGCCGCGUGUGUGAAGAAGGUCUUCGGAUUGUAAAGCACUUUAAGUUGGGAGGAAGGGUUGUAGAUUAAUACUCUGCAAUUUUGACGUUACCGACAGAAUAAGCACCGGCUAACUCUGUGCCAGCAGCCGCGGUAAUACAGAGGGUGCAAGCGUUAAUCGGAAUUACUGGGCGUAAAGCGCGCGUAGGUGGUUUGUUAAAGUUGGAUGUGAAAUCCCCGGGCUCAACCUGGGGAACUGCAUUCAAAACUGACUGACUAGAGUAUGGUAGAGGGUGGUGGAAUUUCCUGUGUAGCGGUGAAAUGCGUAGAUAUAUGAAGGAACACCCAGUGGCGAAGGGCGACCACCUG